rnacentral:rRNA from 1 species
GACGUAGGGCGCGAGCGUUGUCCGGAUUUAUUGGGCGUAAAGAGCUCGUAGGCGGCUCGUUGCGUCGGCUGUGAAAACCCGCAGCUCAACUGUGGGCUUGCAGCCGAUACGGGCGGGCUAGGAUUCGGUAGGGGAGACUGGAAUUCCUGGUGUAGCGGUGAAAUGCGCAGAUAUCAGGAGGAACACCGGUGGCGAAGGCGGGUCUCUGGUACGUGACUGACGCUGAGACGCGAAAGCGUGGGGAGCGAACAGG